rnacentral:rRNA from 1 species
GUGCCAGCAGCCGCGGUAAUACGUAGGUGGCAAGCGUUGUCCGGAAUCACUGGGCGUAAAGGGCGCGUAGGCGGGUAAUUAAGUCAGGUGUGAAAACUCUGAGCUUAACUCAGAGAUUGCAUUUGAUACUGGAUAUCUUGAGUGCAGGAGAGGGCAGUGGAAUUCCUAGUGUAGCGGUGAAAUGCGUAGAUAUUAGGAGGAACACCAGUGGCGAAGGCGGCUGCCUGGACUGUAACUGACGCUGAGGCGC